GACCAUAGCUCAGUGGUAGAGCAUCUGUCUUGCAUGCAGAAGGUCCUAGGAAGGGCUGGGAGAGACC